CUUUGCUCCCACCAGGCGCUUCAUGGGAAAUAAAUUCUCUGCCCAAGUGUCUUUCGGUAGGGCAUGCAAAGCAGCCACUCCUUAUUUGAUUAAUCCUUACUCUGUAUUUUCCAGGGCGUGUACUGUAUCACCAAGGAUCCUACAUGACAUCAAUCUUCUUCUACAUCCCUCUUGGCAUGUGAUGAAAGGAGGAGUUUGCUUGGGAUUGUCUCGGUUGUCAAGAGACCAGCAGGUCUGCUCAUCCCCUGGGAGAGGCUGGCAGCAGAUGCCUCAGCCGCCUGACUCAGCAAUGCCAGGCUCACCCCUGGCCCAGGGACCUGUGCAGAAGCAAUAUCCUACGCCUGCCUCCAAUCCAGAGAAACGAGAGUGAUCUCAAUUUGAACAAAACCUUUUCCAGCCCAGUCUUAUGCAUCGGGCAUGGUUAGCUUCCACACUCCAACCCCACUGUCUUCCAUGGGUCCCCCUUGAUGCUGUUUCUUCUGAAAAUGGAAAUGCCCAUGCCUCACAGGCUCCAGAGAGGCAGAUGAAGUCAUGGAUAGGAAAGCACAGUGCUCAUGAGAUGUGGGUCUGCACAGCUACUACAAUCAAGGGCUGAAUUGGAAAUUUCCACAGAUAUCUCGGUUUGGCAGAUAAUGAGAUUUUAUAAGGAAAGCAUCCAACUAAGGAUGGGCCCCCUCUGACUAUACUACUUUCCUUUUCAAAAUAUCCCUGGGGUUCUCCAGUGCUUACAGAGU
rnacentral:lncRNA from 1 species